AUUGAACGCUGGCGGAAUGCUUUACACAUGCAAGUCGAGCGGCAGCACGGGGGCAACCCUGGUGGCGAGCGGCGAACGGGUGAGUAAUACAUCGGAACAUGCCCAGUCGUGGGGGAUAACACUUCGAAAGAAGUGCUAAUACCGCAUACGUCCUGAGGGAGAAAGCGGGGGAUCGCAAGACCUCGCGCGAUUGGAGUGGCCGAUGUCAGAUUAACUAGUUGGUGGGGUAAAGGCCUACCAAGGCAACGAUCUGUAGCUGGUCUGAGAGGAUGAUCAGCCACACUGGGACUGAGACACGGCCCAGACUCCGACGGGAGGCGGCAGUGGGGAAUUUUGGACAAGGGGGGCAACCCUGAUCAAGCCAUUCCGCGUGAGUGAAGAAGGCCUUCGGGUUGUAAAGCUCUUUCGGCAGGAACGAAACGGUGAGCUCUAACAUAGCUUGCUAAUGCCGGUACCUGAAGAAGAAGCACCGGCUAACUACGUGCAAGCCGCCGCAGUAAUAC
rnacentral:rRNA from 1 species